rnacentral:rRNA from 1 species
GAAAUCCCCGGGCUUAACCUGGGAACUGCAUUGGUGACUGGCGGGCUAGAGUAUGGCAGAGGGGGGUAGAAUUCCACGUGUAGCAGUGAAAUGCGUAGAGAUGUGGAGGAAUACCGAUGGCGAAGGCAGCCCCCUGGGCCAAUACUGACGCUCAUGCACGAAAGCGUGGGGAGCAAACAGGAUUAGAUACCCUGGUAGUCCACGCCCUAAACGAUGUCAACUAGUUGUCGGGUCUUCAUUGACUUGGUAACGAAGCUAACGCGUGAAGUUGUCAAGUUUGAUGUGAAAGCCCGGAGCUCAGCUCCGGAAGUGCGUCAGAAACUAACCGGCUGGAGCGCGAUAGAGGAGGGCGGAAUUCCUGGUGUAGCGGUGAAAUGCGUAGAUAUCAGGAGGAACACCGGCGGCGAAGGCGGCCCUCUGGAUCGUUGCUGACGCUGAGACGCGAAAGCGUGGGGAGCAAACAGGAUUAGAUACCCUGGUAGUCCACGCUGUAAACUAUGGGUACUAGGUGUUCGGGGUAUUGACCCCCUGAGUGCCGCAGCUAACGCAUUAAGUACCCCGCCUGGGGACUACGGCCGCAAGGUUAAAACUUAAAGGAAUUGACG